UCUGGAUGAUUAUCUGUCCUCUGCUGUGAGGAGAAUUUAAACUAAUAGGUGGGUGUUCCAUGAGGAGACAGACAGCAAUUGGAAUUGUGUUGGUCACAUGUAGCAAACAAGGAUGAAGCUAUAAGGACUCAUUGCCAAGAAAUGCUAGUGGAUACACACCUUCAACCCCCUCUCACAGAGAACUAUUGAUGGGCUUGCGUGGC